UUACGGCCAUAUCAGGUUGCAACAUCGAUUCUCAUCCGAUCACUGAAGUUAAGUAAUGUCGAAUCUGGCCAGUACUUAGAUGGGCCAACACUCGGGAAUACCAGGUACUGUAAGC